CGGCGGACGGGUGAGUAACGCGUGGGUAACCUGCCUUACACAGGGGGGAUAACAGUUAGAAAUGACUGCUAAUACCGCAUAACCCGCUAGGGCCGCAUGGCCUGGACGGAAAAGAUUUUAUCGGUGUAAGAUGGACCCGCGUCUGAUUAGCUGGUUGGUGAGGUAACGGCUCACCAAGGCGACGAUCAGUAGCCGACCUGAGAGGGUGAUCGGCCACAUUGGGACUGAGACACGGCCCAAACUCCUACGGAAGGCAGCAG
rnacentral:rRNA from 1 species